UGGAACUGGUGGGGCACGGUUGAGUCCGCGUGGGCGCUGGGUAACAGGCGGGCGGAAGUGUCGCACACUGGCCGUGCCUCGAGCGUCCCGGCGCUGGGACCAUCCCACAUCCUUCAGGAAAAGAAAGAAAGCAUAUUACAGUGCAGAGAACAGAGACUUUGGAAACAAACCUGGAUUUAUAUUCUGACUGCAAUUUACUGUUUAUGGUCAAGUCACAUAAUCUGCAUCUUUGUUUCUUCAUCUACAAUAUGGGUGGAACAAUUGACCUUUCAGGACUUCUUUGUGAGAAUGAAGGGAGCCCCGUGGAGAACCCCAAAUGAAGGUUUUAAACGAGAAAGGAGAAUUUAUUAAAAGGAUACAGGAAUGUCUCCAGGAUACAGCUGAGCCUGAGGAAUGAACUAGAACUAGGGUAGGUGUUUCAAACAUUUUACAUAUUUAUUUAUUUUUAGAAGGCCCUGCUAAGCCUAUAGUUUGUUUUUUUUGUUUGUUUUUUAUACAGCAGGUUCUUGUUACUUGUCUAUUUUAUGCAUAUUGGUGUGUAUGUGUUGGUCCCAAUCUCCCAAUUCAACGCCCCUCCCCGCCACUUUCCCCCCUUGGCGUCCAUGCGUUUGUUCUCUACAUCUGUGUCUCUACUUCUGCCUUGCAAGCCUUGCAUCUGUGUCUCUAUUUCUGCCUUGCAAGCCUCUAUUUCAUCUGUGCCAUUUUUCUAGAUUCCACAUAUAUGCGUUAACAUACAAUGUUUGUUUUUCUGACUUGCUUCACUCUGUGGCAGUCUCUGGGUCCAUCCGGGUCUCUACAGGUGGCCCAAUUUUGUUCCUUUUUGCGGCUGAGUGGUGUUCCAUUGUAUGUGUGUGCCACACCUUCUUUAUCCGCUGUCUGUCUAUGGGCAUUUAGGUUGCUUAAGCAUUUUACAUGUUUAAUCCUCACAGCAACUCAUUCAAUCCUCAAGUCAACCCUCUGAGGUAGGUAAUACUAUAAUAAUCAUCCCCAUUUUACAGAUACGGAGACUGAGAGAUUGAGUAGUUUAACUCAACACCUAGUAACGUGGUAGCCAUAUUUCAAAUUCAGGGAGUUUGGCUUCAGAGUCUGUGUUAACCCCUACGUCAUAUUGUCUCAAAUGGUGAUAAGUACGAUGAAAAAAGAAGCUGGGACUGGUAGAUAACAAGACAGAAAGGACCUGGAUCCUUGAUAACAUUGCUGAGCCACUUACUUUUACAAGUUACAGAGAUGCCCUUAUUUAGGGCUCUGGUUAUAUAAGAUAAUAAAUCCCUUUAUUGGGGGACUUCCCUGGUGGUUCGGUUGUUAAAGACUCCGUGCUCCCAAUGCAGGGCGCCUGGCUUCAACCCCUGGUCAGGGAACUAGAUCCUGCGUGCCGCAACUGAAGAUCCUGCACGCCACAACUAAGACCCGGCACAGCC
rnacentral:lncRNA from 1 species